rnacentral:rRNA from 1 species
CUCGGCUCGUGGGUCGAUGAAGAACGCAGCAAAUUGCGCGUCGACAUGUGAACUGCAGGACACAUGAACAUCGACAUUUCGAACGCACAUUGCGGUCCUUGGAUUUCCAAUCCCGGACCACGCCUGGCUGAGGGUCGGCUAACACGCACUCCUGGGCGCGCGAUUGAUGUCGGACGGCACUUCUCGCGCCCGACGUUGGGGGCACGGCGGGGGGCUCUCUCCGCCGACGCCCUUCAAGAUGAGUUCCGAGGCGCGCUGGCGCUCGUCCCCCUCGACGCGCGUCGCCGCCGGGCUUGACAGUGAUGUCUGAUGCCCGGCCUGCUGCGGCCGCGCGCUCGUAGUGGGGGGGCCCGCCUACCCGCGCCGAAAGACAAUUGUCCGACCUCAGAU